UUCCUCAUCAUUAUCAAAAACAAAAACAAAAUCAGUAGAAUACUUAAAUAUUAAAUUUCAACCACAAAACAACAAUAACAACAACAACAAAAUCCAUGGAAUCUUUAAACAUUAAAUUUCAACAACAACAACAAUAAAUAAACAAAAUCAAUAGAAUUGUUAAAUACUAAAUUUCAACAACAACAACAAUAUUAAACAUUUUACUUGAUACAACUAC
rnacentral:lncRNA from 1 species